UGGGCUAUAAUCAUUCAAUUUUCAGAAUUUUUCUAACAGAAGAUUCUCUUGUUACUUAAUAUAUUAGGAAAUGUUAGGUAUUUAUCUUAUUUUUGCUAUGUUUCUAGUAUGAAUUUUUCAUUUAUCAAUAUACAUUAUAUUGUACUGGUUCAUCAAAGAUACCAGGCUUAAUUUAGUACGCCAGAUGUGUGUUCGUCUACGAAAGACUCAUCAGUGACGCUUAUAUAUACAUGUACAUAUACAUAUAAGGCCUAAAAACAAAACAAAUGAACACAGCCAAGGUAAUAUAAUGCAGAAACCUCGAACAAAACAUAAAGCGAAUAAAAAUACCAACAACACUCAGAAUACCAUAUGAUAUUUUAAAUUAUUUCAAACUUUAAACCUAUAAAAAUAUUUUUUAAAUGUAGUUGUGGCACUCUGCAGUAUAUAGUAGCACUAUGUUCAGUUUUCAAGUACAGAUAUUGAUAUAAAAAGUAAUUCUAAGAUUCCUAUUAUUUUAGCUUAUAAACACAAUGUAUCUAAAUUAUAAACCCAUGAAAAUGGAAAAACUACUUUCAAAAAGAAUGUUAUAUUAUAUAAAUCUUUGAAAAUAUGUAAAGCACUAUACCUAAAUCUAAUCUAAAAUAUACC
rnacentral:lncRNA from 1 species